rnacentral:tRNA from 1 species
GGAGUCGAAGGGAAAUCGAAAUUCAUCAAUGAAAUCAAUGGACGCAAAACGGCAGGCGGCAUGAUCUGCACGUUCGGGACGUGGGGGUCGCAAGUUCGAAUCUUGCCACUCCG